rnacentral:sRNA from 2 species
CCAGGGCCGCCACUUCCGCCAUGACGAACCGGGGAACCACCGAAGCAGCACCGGGGUGAAUCCGCGUCCGCGCGGUAGGGCAUUCUUCCGAGCCCGAAUCCGACAGCUAACCCGGUAAGCGGCCACAAGCGGAAGA